CGCGGGCAACUGUUAUGAACAUCUUUCGUAUUCCACUGAAUCUCAUUGUGAUAACUAUCUUACUAUUUAAUCUUUCUCAUGAUGUUAUCUUUAUUUCUUGUUCUGGUUUUCUAAUAAUAGGAUCGAUGUUCCAGCACUUCUUAUUUAAUUUGUGCCAAGAAAACUUGGAAUCAUUUCCCUCUUUAAAAGAUCCACAAGCAAUUUAAGUAACUCAAAAGACAGCGGUCAGUUUUAUGCAUCAAAGAAAUAUAUCUUCAAUUUUUUAAUAUGGAAGACAAUGCCUAUUAUCUCCAAAAAACAAAAAGGGAAAAACUGGGUAGCUAAGUGUUGACCAAUGUAUUAUUACAAAUCUUAAAUGAAUGUAAAUGGUAUUGUAUAUUUUAAAGGUGAAAUAUCUUCUUUUCAUAAUAAUUCAUUCUGCCUUCUAUUCCAUGAUGUGUUAUGCAGACAAACCACACCGAUUUAAUGUUUUUUAUACUUUGUUCUAUGUAUGAGACAAACUUCUUGUUUUAAAAUCAUCUAAAAUAAAACCUCCCACGAAAACUUUAUAUUAAUUCAUCACGAAAUGUUAGUGUCAAGUAGUGUUUAGGCAUUCUCUAUGGUAGCUGCAAUGAAUUUGCCUUUUAGCAGUUGAAAUAUGUCACAAACAUAUUAAUUUAUGUUUCAAACACCAGCUCAAUAAGG
rnacentral:lncRNA from 1 species